CGGACGGGUGAGUAAUGUCUGGGAAACUGCCUGAUGGAGGGGGAUAACUACUGGAAACGGUAGCUAAUACCGCAUAACGUCGCAAGACCAAGAGGGGACCUUCGGGCCUCUUGCCAUCGGAUGUGCCCAGAUGGGAUUAGCUAGUAGGUGGGGUAACGGCUCACCUAGGCGACGAUCCCUAGCUGGUCUGAGAGGAUGACCAGCCACACCGGAACUGAGACACGGUCCAG
rnacentral:rRNA from 1 species